rnacentral:pre_miRNA from 1 species
UAAAUACUCCCUCCGUCCAAAAAUACUUGUCAUCAAAAUGGAUAAAAGGAAAUGUAUCUAGACGUAUUUUAGUUUUAGAUACAUCUCUUUUUAUCCAUUUUGAUGACAAGUAUUUUCGGACGGAGGGAGUAGAAA